UCGAGUUCGUGCCCCUCUGGGGUAGACCUCCCACCCUUUGCUUACCUUAUCUUUGUUGCUUUGGCGGGCCGGACGGUGUCGAUCACCGACCACCGGCUCCGGCUGGUGCGCGCCCGCCAGAGACCCAUACCACGCUUAAUUUAUUGUAUUGUCUGAGUGUAUACCAAAUCGUUA
rnacentral:misc_RNA from 1 species